GUGCCAGCAGCCGCGGUAAGACGAACCGUGCGAACGUUGUUCGGAAUCACUGGGCUUAAAGGGCGCGUAGGCGGACUCUCCAGUCGGGAGUGAAAUCGCUCGGCCCAACCGAGCAAGGGCUUCCGAUACUGAGAGUCUCGAGGGAGGUAGGGGUCGAGGGAACUGGUGGUGGAGCGGUGAAAUGCGUAGAUAUCACUAGGAACGCCGGUGGCGAAAGCGCUCGACUGGACCUCUUCUGACGCUGAGGCGCGAAAGCCAGGGGAGCAAACGGGAUUAGAUACCCCCGUAGUCC
rnacentral:rRNA from 1 species